GACGAACGCUGGCGGCGCGCCUAACACAUGCCAGUCGAACGGAGCUGCGAGAAGCUUGCUUUUCUUAGCUUAGUGGCGAACGGGUGAGUAACGCGUGAGUAACCUGCCCUGGAGUGGGGGACAACAGUUGGAAACGACUGCUAAUACCGCAUAAGCCCACGAUCCGGCAUCGGAUUGAGGGAAAAGGAUUUAUUCGCUUCAGGAUGGACUCGCGUCCAAUUAGCUAGUUGGUGAGGUAACGGCCCACCAAGGCGACGAUUGGUAGCCGGACUGAGAGGUUGAACGGCCACAUUGGGACUGAGACACGGCCCAGACUCCUACGGGAGGCAGCAGUGGGGGAUAUUGCACAAUGGGGGAAACCCUGAUGCAGCGACGCCGCGUGGAGGAAGAAGGUUUUCGGAUUGUAAACUCCUGUCGUUAGGGACGAUAAUGACGGUACCUAACAAGAAAGCACCGGCUAACUACGUG
rnacentral:rRNA from 1 species